AUUUAUUUGACUUGUUUGCAUCCCUGAACUAGAAUGUAAGCUCCAUGAGGGCAAGGCCUUCCUCUGUCUCGUUUCCCUGCUGUAUCCCCAGUGCCUGGAAUAGUGCUUGGUGUGUAGCAGGCACUCAAUAAACUGUGGAAAGGAUGAAGAUGCCCCCAGUUGGGGUUGGGGAGGGCGACCAGCUGGCCUGUGCCGUAGCCGGUCACAGCACAUCAUGCUCUGUUGCAGGUCACUGCAAGGGGAUGCUGCACCCCCUCAAGGUGAAGAGCUGAUUGAGGCUGCCAAGAGGAACGACUUCUGUAAGGUACUAGCUCCAGGCUCCAGUUCCUUCCCCCAGCAGCUCCCUCGGGCCCUGGGGAGCGAGGCCUCUGGGUUGGGCCAAGAGCUGACCUGCUCAGGUGCUGUCAUCUGUCAUCGUCUGGCCCUCUGUGGGAUCUCCAGUGAUCGUCCCAUUCCACUUCACUGUAUCUCUGUCUAGGCCACAAUAGAUGGCUCCUAGUAGGGGCUUCCUAGCUCAGUCCACUUGUCCCUGGUGCUUAGAAAGGAGCAGGUCAGAGGAAGCACUGCUCCAGGGCUUGGUCACCAAUGCUGCCAGAGAGCCCACAGGCUGUGGGGUGAGAGGCCCACAGAGGCAACUCGGGAGUAAGAUGUGUGAGCGCACUCGUUUCAGGCCUGUGCUGGUGUACCCGGCUGUGGGCCAGCGU
rnacentral:sRNA from 1 species